UGAUCUCACCUAUGCUGACUGUUUCCGCAGAAUGACAUAUAACGACGGGAGGGCUUCGACCAGAGAGCCGAAACUAGAUAAACUACCAGUGGAGGAACAUCAAAAGAGGGUCCGAAUGGCUGAAGAAGUGGAAGAGGACGACAGCUGCUCGCCAAGAGAAAACACCAACACUUCAAUGAAGACGAUGCCCUCACGACUAAGAGUAAACUCAGAAGGAAGGUCAAAGGACACUGUAAGGCAGCGAAAACCGUAACAGAAAGCUUGCUCUCUCUGUCCACAACAAAAGGGUCAUCGGAGUUUGUCGAAUUCGGCGCCGGCGAUUCCUUUCGAUUUGAACUCUAUGAUGGAAAUUGGAAGUGAUGUCCAAGUUUGUGCUCGAGGCCCUUGGGAUAUUAGAAAAUUAGAGACUUGUGGACACAUUUAAUCCCUUGGACAGAGGGAAUGUGGGAAUGUAUCAAUCUUAAUUGAUUGUUAUAGAAAAUUUAUUUUAUCUUAGAAAAA